GGCUGCCUUGGCUGACUCCCCCAUGCAUGCAUGUUUGAUUGAUCAAUAAAGGAGCCUCAGGCUGUCUGAUCCAAAAUCAAUCGUGUGGUCAAUUUUCCACAACAAGUUGGGGGCUCGUCCGGGAUCCACAGAAGACUUCCCCAGACCGGAGGACCGCGGGCAAUCUCCCACCAAACCCAGGGCCCAUCUGAAAGGUGGCUCCGCUACCUAACUGCAGGCUUGUUUGCCAUCAACUGGCCCCACAGAGCAAUGCAAUCAGCAACAGUUGCAGGGAAUCUGCUGCCAGAUGCCCCCUCGUACGGAAAUGGGAUCAAGACUCUGGUGUGACUGGUUUGCUCCAACUUGCUAAGAAUGGUGACCAAUCAGAUAGUUAGCCAAGUCAAACUUGGAAGGGCCUGUACUUCAGAGUGGU